rnacentral:rRNA from 1 species
AUGGCCAAAACUAUCAUCAAAUUGGCACAUUGCUACCUAAAGAUAAUGGACAUAAUGAUCUUAGGCCAAAGUUUGCUCAAUUGUACAUUUAUGAUACAGAAAACAAGGUCAGAAACAGAAUGCAGGCUUCAACCUCAAAGGAAAGGAAAACACAACUUGAUGAACGCAUUGUGUCUGGAUUAUUGCAGAUGCUUUGAUGAUCACAAUGAGUUAGUGAAAUCAUUCCGUAUGGCAAGGGAUAGAUACCAAGAGUCGGAUCUCGAAAAUGUUAUGUUGCGAUUAUUUGGUACAAGAUCCAGUGAUGGAAGACAAUACAACCUACCAACUGCAUCUGAAAUAGCUGCACUCGCUGUUGAGGAACAGACAGGAGAAAAUGUUGAACGUGAUAUAAUAGUAGAAAACAAAGACAAACAACUCCAGUGA